rnacentral:rRNA from 1 species
AACGAACGCUGGCGGCAUGCCUAACACAUGCAAGUCGAACGAGACCUUCGGGUCUAGUGGCGCACGGGUGCGUAACGCGUGGGAAUCUGCCCUUGGGUUCGGAAUAACAGUUGGAAACGACUGCUAAUACCGGAUGAUGACGUAAGUCCAAAGAUUUAUCGCUCAAGGAUGAGCCCGCGUAGGAUUAGCUAGUUGGUGAGGUAAAGGCUCACCAAGGCGACGAUCCUUAGCUGGUCUGAGAGGAUGAUCAGCCACACUGGGACUGAGACACGGCCCAGACUCCUACGGGAGGCAGCAGUGGGGAAUAUUGGACAAUGGGCGGAAGCCUGAUCCAGCAAUGCCGCGUGAGUGAUGAAGGCCUUAGGGUUGUAAAGCUCUUUUACCCGGGAUGAUAAUGACAGUACCGGGAGAAUAAGCUCCGGCUAACUCCGUG